rnacentral:rRNA from 1 species
CUCCAUUGAAUUUUAUUAAUCUCUUUUGUGGUGGCAAAAAAUCGGAAGCCCCGACUGUUUACUAAAAACACAGCUAUCUGCAACGAUGUAAAUCAUAGUAUAGGUAGUGAGGUUUGCCCGAUGCCAUUAAUAUAAGAGAAGUGAUGGGUAACUGUUAAUUAUCGAAAAUCUGGUUAAUAGCGGUCUUAACUAUGAGGAUCCUAAGGUAGCAAAAUAAAUUGGCCA